rnacentral:rRNA from 1 species
UGAUCCUGGCUCAGGAUGAACGCUGGCGGCGUGCCUAACACAUGCAAGUCGAGCGGUAAGGCUCCUUCGGGAGUACACGAGCGGCGGACGGGUGAGUAACACGUGGGAAUCUACCCCAAACUGAGGGAUAAGCACCGGAAACGGUGUCUAAUACCGCAUAUGAUCUUCGGAUUAAAGCUUUAUGCGCUUUGGGAGCGGCCUGCGUCCGAUUAGAUAGUUGGUGAGGUAAAGGCUCACCAAGUCGACGAUCGGUAACUGGUUUGAGAGGAUGAUCAGUCAGACUGGAACUGAGACACGGUCCAGACUCCUACGGGAGGCAGCAGUAAGGAAUCUUCCACAAUGGGCGAAAGCCUGAUGGAGCAACGCCGCGUGCAGGAUGAAGGCCCUCGGGUCGUAAACUGCUUUUAUGAGUGAAGAAUAUGACGGUAACUCAUGAAUAAGCACCGGCUAACUACGUGCCAGCAGCCGCGGUCAUACGUAGGGUGCAAGCAUUAUCCGGAGUGACUGGGCGUAAAGAGUUGCGUAGGUGGUUAGUAAAGUGAAUAGUGAAACCUGGUGGCUCAACCAUACAGACUAUUAUUCAAACUCACUAACUCGAGAGUGGUAGAGGUAACUGGAAUUUCUUGUGUAGGAGUGAAAUCCGUAGAUAUAAGAAGGAACACCAAUGGCGUAGGCAGGUUACUGGACCAUUUCUGACACUAAGGCACGAAAGCGUGGGGAGCGAACCGGAUUAGAUACCCGGGUAGUCCACGC